UACGGAGGGAGCUAGCGUUGUUCGGAAUUACUGGGCGUAAAGCGCGCGUAGGCGGCUUUGUAAGUUAGAGGUGAAAGCCCGGGGCUCAACCCCGGAACUGCCUUUAAAACUGCAUCGCUUGAAUCCAGGAGAGGUGAGUGGAAUUCCGAGUGUAGAGGUGAAAUUCGUAGAGAUUGGAAAGAACACCGAUGGCGAAGGCACUUUACUGGGCUAUUACUGACACUCAGAGACGAAAGCUAGGGUAGCAAAUGGG
rnacentral:rRNA from 1 species